rnacentral:rRNA from 1 species
CAGCCGCCGCGGUAAUACAGAGGGUGCGAGCGUUAAUCGGAUUUACUGGGCGUAAAGCGCGCGUAGGCGGUUACUCAAGUCAGAGGUGAAAGCCCGGGGCUCAACCCCGGAACUGCCUUUGAAACUAGGUGACUAGAAUCUUGGAGAGGUCAGUGGAAUUCCGAGUGUAGAGGUGAAAUUCGUAGAUAUUCGGAAGAACACCAGUGGCGAAGGCGACUGACUGGACAAGUAUUGACGCUGAGGUGCGAAAGCGUGGGGAGCAAACAGGAUUAGAUACCCCUGUAGUCCCUGUCUCUUAUAC